UACGUAGGGACCGAGCGUUGUCCGGAUUCAUUGGGCGUAAAGAGCUCGUAGGCGGCCACUCAAGUCGAAUGUGAAACCUCGAGGCUUAACCUCGAGCCUGCAUUCGAUACUGGGCGGCUAGAGUCUGGUAGGGGGAUCUGGAAUUCCUGGUGUAGCGGUGAAAUGCGUAGAUAUCAGGAGGAACACCGGUGGCGAAGGCGGGUCUCUGGACAGUUCCUGACGCUGAGGCACGAAGGCCAGGGGAGCAAACGGG
rnacentral:rRNA from 1 species